rnacentral:lncRNA from 1 species
CUCUGGGCUGAGUUCAGUUGAUUGCCGGAGUUAAGGUCCCUGAUCGAGCUUGUUCUCUGGGCGCCGACUUAGUUGGAAAUCAAGUGUCCAGGCUGAAGGUAAGGUCCCUGAUCGAGCUUUGCUCUCUGGGCGCCAGUCCUGUUGGAAUGAGAGAGUUGAGAUAUAAGUGACCAGGCUAGAGGUAAGGUCCCUGAUCGAGCUUUGCUCUCUGGGCGCCAGUCCUGUUGGAAUGAGAGAGUUGAGAUAUAAGUGACCAGACUAGAGGUAAGGUCCCUGAUUUUCAAAUGAACAAUCACAGUAGCAUAAUUAAAUUUUAUGCAUGACACGUGCAUAAGUGAUAUAUGACUUUAACUCACAGGUUUGGCGACCUCCUAACUCUGCUCCGGUGCCUCGGUUGGAGCGAGCCGAACAGACAGAUCAUCUAAUCACGGAAAACAAUUUAUUAAAACGCUGAAAAAAUCGAUCAUUAAUCUUAGGUCUAGACUCUUAGGACUGACUGUCUAAGAAUCUCGACUCGGUAAAUUCUACCGAAAAUUCGGCAGAACCUCCCCUACAACACGGACAUUUACCCCCCGUAAAACGGGUCCAGGACCUCCCAGAAAAAUACUUCAAAAAUCUAACAAUCCAAACAACGAGAGUCGGGUAUACAUGGCAGGCAGUCCGACAAACAAUUAUUUUUGACUCACAAAUAUCAUCAAAUACUCAACACAAUCAAUAGAUACACAAAUUAAAUCAAGGAAUUCCAAAAAUUAACGGGGCCAGAGAAAAUUACCGAGAUGCUCGGUCGAUUCGCCUCCAGCCGCCGAAGUCCGAUCGACGAUCCGAACACACCAUCGGACUCGAAAUGACGCGCUGAAGACGAUCCCCGCUUCUGAUUUCUGAUCUGACACCGGAUCAUCCAGAGAGAAUUUUUGGAUGAUCUUGGCCGUCGAUUCGCAAACGAAGUCUGAUCGCCACGAAACCGGUGCCGUUGCGAAGCUUGAGCUGAGGAGAGUCGGGAUAUGCCCUCCAAUCGUCCAUAGCUCGGCGGAAAUGCCCAAAAACCUCGGCUGCCUCCAUUUUCUCUUUCCACAGUGAACCUCCAUUUCCAGCCACCAUUGUCGACACCGCCGCGGCCAAAAUAAAGCCAAGGCUGAGAGGAGUCGAUCGCCACCAAAAUCAACAGCUACCACCGCCGGAAACGCACACACGGCAGCAAGGAAGUCUUGGCCGGCUUCCUCUCCUCGCGUGAGCUGCUACCGUCGCCCGCUGCUGCCGCUGCACUCGCCGACGACGCCAGCAGCGCCCGACAGUCGGCCGCCACCGGCUGGACGACGCAGCACCGGCUCCCCUCGCGCAACGCCCUCUCUCUCUCUCUCUCUCUCUCUCUCUCUCUCCCUUCUUCCCUGAUUUUCUUCCUCUCCCCCGACACUCUCUUCUUUCCUUUCUUUCAAUAUCGACAUUUGACCCCUGAACUUUUUCUUAUUACAAUUUGGUCCUUCAACUAUUUUAAUUACUUACAACUUCAUCCUGCAGAAAUUUCAAUUAACCCCUAAACUUUUCUUUAGCCUUUCAAUUAAGCCCUUAACUAAUUAAUUUGGACCAAAUUAGAAUUAUUGAAAAUAUAUAAUUACAUAUAUACCCCUGACCGACAUAUUUAUUUACAAAAAUACCAAACAUACAAAUUUCUAUUAAAACCCCAUAAUAAUAAAAUUUUACUUUUAUUCCUCAUCCCAAAAUAAAUUUCCAAUUUAAUCCUAACACACCAUUAAUUUAAUUAAUCAAUUUACUAAAUAUUUUUUAACUUAAAAUUAAAUAUCACUAGCUAAUUAAAAUACCAAUUUCUCCAAGAAAUUUCUUUUAUAAAAACAUCAUUUACAAAUUCUUCCAUGAUUUUUCAAUAUAUAAUUUUAUUUAUAUAUAUGCUAUAUAUAUAUAUUUAGAAAAAAUUUGAAUAACUAAAAUAUAAUUAUUUUUUAAUAAUUUAUUUAAUUAAUUUCUUAAAGAUCCAACAAAUUAGGUAUAGAAAAAUAACUCAUUUAAUUGUCUAAUAUUAAGAUUUUCAUUAAAUCAUUUCAAAUUAAACCAAAUAAAAAUAAAGUAAAAUUAAUUUAAAUAAAAACUCAUUUAUUAAUUAUUAUUAAUAUAAUCAUUGGAAAAAAUUUCGGGUAUUACAACUUAUCCUAGUAAGUAUGUAAAAUCCAUUUUUAUUUUUUUUUUCCAAAUUACACACUUAGAGGUGGAUUCCAUAUUAGGAGAAUAAGUUAUUAGUGAGAUGGUAUAAAUAAUGUAACAAAUCAAUUAAGGAUAUUUCAUGGCCACACUAGUAAAAACUAUACUGCAAAAUUUUAGACACCCAAAUUUUUUUUAAAAAAAUGAUAUAAACAAAAAUCAAAAUAUUGAAACUAAUUAGAUAUAACAUCCAAAGAUUUGAUACUAACAAAAUAAAAUAAAUAUGUAACGACCUUACCCCAAACUGGCCCAAUUUGCUAGUUUUCUAUCUUUAUCUUUCAUACUUUAGAGUUCAGCAACUCGAAACUCUAACUGAUACUGUUUUAAUUUUGAUCCUACUUUUAAAUAUCAUGCAUAACACUAGAGGGUAGAGAAAGAAUGAGAAAAACUCAAUAAAAGAAUAAACAAAUAACAAAGAGGAACAAACAAGAAUUUAAAUAGAAUUAAUACAAUACUUUAUUAUUCUUGAAUAUUUUUUGUUAGAGAAAAUUUUGUUAUUAUUUUGAACAUAAAUAUUUGAUACAAGACAUUCUAGUUAGAUAAAUAAACUCUUGUAAAACUAAUUAUGUUAAGAAAUCAUUUAAAUAUGUAUUUGAAAACUACAAUUUCUUAUUUUGAUCUAAAAUCAACUAUCUGUAUAAUUUCGAAUCAAUAUGGAAAAAUAUCAAUACUAAAUUAAAUUUUGAUAUCAUAACAAAGAAAAAAAAGUAACAAUUUAAAACAAAUAAUUUAGUAGAAAUCAAUAUACACUCAUAGAUGUACCCUAUUAAUUUUUGGCAAUUUUGAGCGCAAAGACGUCUUACAUAGCAAUCCAAAUGUAAAUUCUAGUCAUACGCGUGUAGAUAAUAAGCCUCCAAAGGCACCAUCUAGCAUAUGCUCCAAAGGCGAUGUAUAUACUAAGCGUUGUCUAAAAGACAGUAUAAUAUGAUGAUACCUGACGUCCAAGGUAUAAUCUCAUAAGUCACAUAAAUGAGUAUAUUCUCAUUUAUCCAACUAUAUAUAAUUUUAAUCACAUAUAAAGUAAAACUAAAAAUACCAUUCUUUGUUUCCUAUUUAUAGAAAAUGUCAAGUUUCUAAACUGCAAUUAAAAUAAUAUUUUUUAAUAAUAAACAUUCCAACAAUUCAUAAGGAUAUAAAUAUAAAUAUAAAUAGUAUAUUACUGAAAAAUACAAUAUUAUAGGUUUAUCUACUCACCUAGUAUGCAGGACUCAACCAACUGUACCGUUAUUCAAUUUCUCUGCUAAUUUUUUCUGAACUACUAUCCGGAUGCACAUUCCUAAAAUUCACGCAUAAACAUAUUUUAGAAAUAAAUCAUGUUUUUAAUAAUCCUUAACCAACAUCUAUUUUUGAAUUUCUAAAAUCAAAUUCUAACUCUUUAAUUCUCAUCUUAUUUUAGUAUAAUUAUAUUUAUUUCCUUCCUAUUCCAAUUAAUUAAUUUACAUCUCCUAUAAACACAGAGUAGUUUCCCCUAAAAAUGGGUCCAACACUUGCAAAAAAUACAUGCACAUCCCACAAUAUUUUUCCAUUUGAGACCUCCAAAGUUUUUAUUAAAUUCAACCUCUCUUUGUUAUCAAAGAAUUUAUCAUCAUAACUAGCUAUUAUUUUUACCUUGUCCAAAUAUUUUUCAAUACAUGAAUUUUAAUUAUAAUUAUUUUCCUUUAUACCGAUCAAUAACUAUUUUAAUAAUAAUUAUUAUUAUUUUUAUUAAUUGACCUUAAGUACUCAUAAACAACAAUUGAGCUUCUCAAAAUUUAGGCAUUUUGUGAACUAAUUAUCUCAUGCCAAUAAUUUUAUUUAUCAUACAGUUAAUACUAAUUUUAUUUAUUUUUCUCUAACCACUUAAAUAUAAAUUUUAUUAUAUUUAUUUAUUCUAUCAAAAAUAUAAUAUUCUUGUAUCAUUAUAUCAAUUAUUUAUUAAUAAAUAUAAUUAAAUUUAAUUAUAGACUGAUCUCUUAAUCAAGAUCUCACACACACAUAUAUAUAUAAAAAUUAACUACUGAAAUUAUUGGCUAUCGUUUUAAAGUCCACUAAAUCAUUUAUUCUAAUUAAUUAGCUUUAUAUUUCUAAUAUUUAUAAAACAACUAAUGAUAGAACCUGUAUAAAAUUAAACACAUUGCUCAAUUUUACUCAAUUUAAAUAGCACAUUUUAAUUUCCCAAACAUGCAUACAUGCAUUAAAUAAUUUUUUUCAAUUAAUAUUAGUAUAUUUUUAAUUAACAAUUUCUAAAAUUAUUAAGCUUAAAAUCUAAUCGAUAAUUCGAGCGUGNNNUUUUCUCCGAUCAAACUCUCGAUCAUCUGAGAUCUCAUCGACAGUUUUAUCCGUUGAUUUUUUUUAUAGAAUUCAAUCGCCACAAAAUUAUUGUCAUAGGAAAGGUUGCGACAUAUAAGUUCCAAAUGUGGUCUAUGAUCAUCUAAAGCUCAACGACAUUAGCCAGGAAAUUCUAAAAAUCUAAAUCAGCCCCACUUUCUCUCUCUUCAAUUUCUCCCUCCACAUUUCAUGAAAAUCGUCAAACUUGGUGUCUAUGGAAAGCCCAAAAAAAAGAAUCCAUUGACACAAAAAUUGCUGCAAUUGGAGGUCGAAAUCGCCAUCAACUGAGGCCAAAAGUUUUAACGUUUAUUUCUUUGCUCACCUUCAACAUUUCUGCCACCAUUUCCGCCAACUAACACCGCCACUUUGCUUACUUCCUCCACUCUUCAUGUCCCGAAAAUUUCAGCUUCUAACUCCCUUUAAAACUCCAUUUGCCAUUAAAGAAGAAUGAAGCUUUUAACUUCUUCCUCUUCUUCAUUUCUUUCUUUUUCUUUCUUUUUUUAUUCAAUAACAACAUUUAGUCCUUAAAUUUUUACUUGACAACCAUUACCCCUUGAAAGGAUUCCUUUAGACCCUUGAGCUCAUAAAGGUUGCUUCAAUUAGAUCCUACUUACUAUUUUUGGGCCAAAUUAAAGUUAUCUAAAAUAUAUGAUUACUUAUUUACCCUUGCCUUUACUUCAGAAAUUACUAGAAUAUCCCUACCACCACAAUUAUUUAUAAAAAUACCAACCAUGAUAAUUUCUAUUUUAAUCCCAUAAUAAAUCAACUCUUCUUUUAAUCCCUUUCUCAUAAAAAAUUAUCAAUUUAAUCAUAACACUUAAUUAAAUUAAUUAAUCAAUUUAGAAACUAUUUUUAAUUAAAUCCAAUACCGCUUGCUAAUUAAAAUUUACCAUUCUCCAAAUAAAAUCAUUUAUAAAAAUAUUUUUAUAGCUUCCAAAUUAAAAGAAGAAUGUUUAUCUAUAUCAAGAGUACGUCUAAUUUAUAAUUCAGAUGAUAAAUAAUUAAUAUAUAUUAUUUAUUAUUAAAUAAUUAAAAUAUAUAAAAGAGGUUUAGAGUCAAUUAUAAAAUAUUUAAAGGAUGUAUACGUAACUUUUAUUAUCACCCUCAUAAAUGAAUUAAAAAAUGACUUUGAGUCAUUAGAACUUGCUACGGAGUUUAUGUAGUAUUAUAUUAGUAAUUUGGCAAAAUCUUAUAUGUGGAAAUGAUCUUACAGUGAUUACAUGAACUCAUUUUUCCAAAAAGCAAAAAUGAAAUGAGUUGCCACUGUUGUAUAAGUUUUUUAAAGGACAAGAUGUCGCUAAAAAGGACAGCUGAUAAGUCUCACUAAAUUUUUAUAACGGCUCUUUUGAUUGGAUAAAUCUUAAAGACUAUUUUAUCUUUUAACUUAUCCAACAAAUUUAAUUAAUAUUUAUAUUUUAUUCUCUUACUUCAUUUAAUCUAUAUUAUGUUUUCAAGAAGAAAAAUUCUUUAAGUUAUUUAUAUAAAGUUUAAAUUUAUAUAUAUUUAUUUAUAUUAAGGAAUUUAAUAAAAUAAUAUCUACAUGAAACUUGAAUUAAUAAAAUAUGGAGUAAAAAUGUUACUAUCAAUCUACAUAUAACGUUGAUUUAUUAUCAUAUUAUGUGCAAGUUUACCUAUGUUUUACAUAUAACGUUGAUAUGUUAUCAUAUUAUGCGUGAAUUUUUACCUAUGUUUCUCAUUCUUAAAAAAUAAAUAAUUCUAUAUAUAAAAAUUGUGUUCUUAAAUUUAUUAAAUAAUAAAAGAUUUAACUAAAAGUAAUCAAGAAAAAAUAAAAGUGCUCUUAUCAUAAUUUAAAAAAAUAAUAUUCAUGUUGUGAGGUAAAAAAUUUAAAAAUGGAUUUAGAUUUAAAAAAUAAAAUCUAUUACAAUAAAUUAAAAAAAGAAAAUAGUAAAAGUAGAAUGAUUAAUUUUAUUUUUAAAUAAUUAAAUAAUAGAGAAAUAAUAAUUUGUGAAAAUUAAUAAAAAUUUAUCAAUAUUUAUAAAAUUUUUUUAAGUAAAGUCAUUCACAAAUUUAUGAAUUCUACAAAAGUCGUUAAAAAUUCAUGAACUCUUUAAAAGAGAGAUCAUGUUAGUUUCAUUUUGCUUACAAACUUUUAAUUUAUUUCAUUUUAAUUAUUUUAAUUCUAGUUACAAUUUAUUCACUUUAUUAAUAAAAAGUUGAUAUGGAUAUAAACUUAAAUAAAAAUUAAAUAAAUAUUGAGGAAAUUACAUGGAAUACGUUAUUUUUUCCUUCUUUUACUUUUAUAUGCUAGGAUUUAGUUUUUUACUUUCAUGUUUUUCAACUAAUUGGCGGGCUCGGGGGAUAGUUGAUGUAACACCCGGAAUUUUUAUAUAUUUAAUAAUGAGUUUUUAAUUAAGUUAAUUUUAGCUUCAUUAUUAUUGGGUUUAAUUUGAAAUGAUUUAAUGAAAAAUUUAAUAUUAAUCAAAUAAAUGAGUUAUUUUCUAUACCCAAUUAGUUUGAAAUUUUAAGAAAUUAUUCA